rnacentral:tRNA from 1 species
AAACAUCCGCCGGUUGAACGGAAAUCAUUGAUGUUGAUUAAUAAGAAAUUGUUUUUCGGUGUUUA